rnacentral:misc_RNA from 1 species
GAUGAAGAACGUAGUGAAAUGCGAUACUUGGUGUGAAUUGCAGAAUCCCGUGAACCAUCGAGUCUUUGAACGCAAGUUGCGCCCGAAGCCAUUAGGCCGAGGGCACGCCUGCCUGGGUGUCACACGUCGUUGCCCCCCCAUCUACUCCUUCGGGAUUGCGGGGGGCGGAUGAUGGCCUCCCGUGCGCCUCGUCGCGCGGUUGGCAUAAAUGCCAAGUCCUCGGCGACGCACGCCACGACAAUCGGUGGUUGCGAAACCUCGGUUGCCCGUCGUGUGCGGUCGUCGUGCAUCGAGGGCUCGAAAAAAUUGCCGGGCUCCGGCUCGGCUUUCAACGCGACCCCAGGUCAGGCGGGGUUACCCGCUGAAUUUAAGCAUAUCAAUAAGCGGAGGA